rnacentral:rRNA from 1 species
AUUGAACGCUGGCGGCAUGCCUAACACAUGCAAGUCGAACGAGUGGCGGACGGGCGAGUAAUUUCUUGGAAACUGCCUGAUGUAGGGGGAUAACUACUGUAACCGGUAGCUAAUACCGCUUACCAUCGGAUGUGCCCAGAUGGGAUUAGCUAGUAGGUGGGGUAAAGGCUCACCAAGGCGACGAUGCCUAGCUUGUCUGAGAGGCUGACCAGCCACACUGGAACUGAGACACGGCCCAGACUCCUACGGGAGGCAGCAGUGGGGAAUAUUGCACAAUGGGCGAAAGUCUGAUCCAGCAAUGCCGCGUGAAUGAAGAAGGCCUUCGGGUUGUAAAGCACUUUCAGCGGGGAGGCGUUACCCGAAGAGGAAGCACCGGCUAACUCCGUGCCAGCAGCCGCGGUAAUUC